AGUGCAGUGGCAUGAUCUCUGCUCACUGCAACCUCCAUCUUCUGGGUCCAAGCAAUUCUCGUGCCUCAGCCUCCCAAGUAGCUGAAAUUACAGGCGCAUGCCACCAUGCCUGGCUAAUUUUUGUAUUUUAGUAGAGAUGGGGUUUCAUCAUGUUGGCCAGGCUGGUCUCAAACUCCUGACCUCAAAAGAUCCUCCCCCCUUGGCCUCCCAAAGUGUUGGGACUACUGGUAUGAGCCACUGUGCCCAGCCUGAAAUUCUUGAGAGUGGCUGAAAAAUAUAAAGUAUAAUCUCAGUCCAUUUUAGCAGAAUAUAUGAUUGCUUCUUGUAAGUAAGAAAGGGGUAUUUAUAGAAAACAACAACAACAAAAUCGAAUGCUCAUCUAUGGAAAAUUCCCAUUAAAACCUAUAGGCAUUCCUCUCAGGUACUAAGAUUCCUCAGGUACCUGCCUGGGGUCCUGGGGCAUCCAGAUAAUCAUAGAUCAUAAUUUCUCCUCACCAGUUUGCAUGUUUCAUUUAGGUAUUCUCCAAGAAGAGAGGUCCUUUUAAAGAAUGAGCAUCAAGCAUCCACUCUAAAAGGAAGAUGGAGAAAGCCAGUGCAAGGCCUGCCUGUUGGGCAUCAUGUGGAUUUGCCCUUGGCUCUUGUGUUCACUCGGAGCCCUCUGGUGUCCCGUUUCCAGCUGGGCUGUGCACGCACCCUGGGGAUUCAGUGGAAGAGGUGACAUCUGCUGACCCUCAGUCAUUAAUCAAGCUGCCUGAGCAGAACCAUUUCCCAGGAGCAAUCUGAAUCCAGCAGUGCUGAGAAAACCCAAGAGCUACAUGGCCAGCAUUUCCCAUCAGAGAGCCAACAGGGCCCCUGGUUUUGCCUUCCCGCCCACCAGCCCUGGUUAAUGGAGCUUUUGUUCUGCCUGAUGCUGCCUUGCUAAUCAGGGUGUAUCAUAUGGGAGCUAUCAGGAGAGCGGGGCCUGCUUCACAAAGGAACACAGGUAAUCUAUGAGUAAGCCUUCGUGGUUCGGUGACAGAAUGACAUCCUAAAGAGGGUGGAUGGGGUCUAUGGACUGAAGACACUAGGAAUAGAAACCUGUUAGCUCUCACUUAAGGGUUUUCAGUGGUUAUAUUAACCAUGACUUCCUACAUCUCUCUAAUAUGGAAAUGUCUGUGGGUUUUUCCAGCUUCCCAGAUCCCUUCCUGCUUUGAAGUGAGCUGUCAUUUUCUAGACUGUUGUUGCCUGGGAAACUGUGGCCCAGUUUUGGCCUCAGAAGGCAUUUUAGUGGGCUUGAAAGACUUUCCAAUUGCUACCCUUCCAGUAGGGGUCAUUGCUCACAAAGCCAUCUCCCUCUAAACAGCUCCAUUUCAGCACCAAAAGUAAAUGAAGCAGGAGGCUGUGUUUACAGGUUGGGGCAGGUUCGCAUCAAAUAUAUUUUUGAAAAAUACCAUGAAGUUCAGUGUUUUGUUGUAAUUUCCUAAAGGAAAGAAAAGCUGUCAUUCAUUCAUUCAUUCAUAUAUUCAAUACAUGCUUAUUAACAUUGUCCUAGGUGCUAGUAACAUAUGAACAAUAUGAACAAACUCUCCAAGUUCCUUCAGACUCUCAGGAGAGUUAGACAAUAAAAAUACCCAGACAAAUAAACAAGAUGAUUGCUUUUAUGAUAAGAAGCACUGUUUGAGUGCAGAACACAGUAAACUUGUGUCAGAGUGUUCUUUUCUCCCAAAUUAUGACAAAAAUGAGACUUCUGUAUUGUGCUUUACAACUAGCAAAGCCUUUUCAUCUAUAUCAUCCUGUCCUCAUAACAGCCUCAUUGGAGACACAGUGAGUAUUAUUAUCACUUUACAGAUGAAGCAAUGGAAGCACAGAGAGGUUAAGGGACUUGCACAAUGUCACAUGUCGAAUAAACUAUGGACCCAGUACUUAAAGCCAGAUCUUCUCACUCUAAAUUUAGUGCUCUUUUUUCCCUACUUUUUCAUGUCUCCACAUCUCCAAGAUUAUGGGGUUUGUGGGAGCUACUUUGAUAACAGUCAGGGACUGAUGAUUGAGCAGAGAGAGGAAGGCGGGUUAGUGGGGAGGCCUGGGGAGCCCUUUAGCCAAGAAUGAGUUUUUCACAAGAGCAGGAAAGUUCCUUAAGUGGCCUUUGGCUUUGCAGAGGCUCUGCUUCAUCUCUUCUUGACGUUGUCCCUGGGAAGAGGGGAGCUGGGGUGGAUGCGAUGGGGAAGGAAGGGAAGGUUGUCAUUUCAAUGUUGUCUGUUAUUUAUCCACACAGCCCCUGGGGCCCUAUUUUCAGACUUGUCUGCUUGCCCAGAAAGGGGCAGACCCAGGAUUCACAGAAAUUAGAAGCACAUACACUUGGCCUGGCCAACAGCAGUGAUGAAGAGAGAUGCAUGCCGGUUUAAACCAGUACCUUCAACAUUCAGGAACAGCACAGCUCCAGGAAGAGCAGGGAACUCUUCUGCCUGCUUAAAAGUGAAGGCCUCUAAUCAGAAUCAGAGCUUCAUUGAAUGUUAGAAUUGCAAUGGAUUUUGGCCAUGACAGUCCAACAACUUUAUUUCACAGACAAAGGACCGGGAGGUUGCCUUUAGAGUUGGCUACAAAACUUAGAGCUUGGUGAUGGCUCAGGCACAAAAGAGCUGGCUGUACUUGAGGCUGACUUCCAUUCUACCUGUGACUAUUACAUUCAAGGUAGUGAACGCUUGAAGCCUCUGGCAUCCUGAUCCCAUGAUUACUGCAGAGAAAAGAGGUAAAUCAAGAACUGCUUGGGGAACAGCAUCAUCAUCGGUUCUGGCAUGUGCAUCUAAGCAAGGCGUGCCUCUCAGGAAGGAUUUCACUCUUUGUUGUAACUGUAUCAUACCUUUUACAAAAAGUCACUUUGAGGUCACUUUUUUUUUGUCCAGUAUUUCAAUACAUUAAAUGCAAUUACUUCAUUGUUGAUUUACCUGUCAUUACAGGCAUGUGUUUGAACAUGAUUUAUUGAGUGAGUUUUGUGCCAGUUGACUUGCAAUAGAUUGCACAAUAUUCAAAGGGGCUCAUUUGCUUGGCAUUACAUUAGAGGCAUGAUGAUUGCAACACAAAGCAAUGUAAAUGAAUUCUGAGAGGCUCCAUCAUUCAUGUUGUCAUGUACUGAAUCCUAUUAUUAUUUAUUACCAUAAUUGUACUGUGUUUCCUGGGGCGAUAAAUUAGGACUGAUGGGCCCCACUGACAGUCAAGGGCUGGACUCGCUCUAUAUAAUUUAAUAGGGAUACUGUAGGGUCUGUGUGUUU
rnacentral:lncRNA from 10 species